CUUGCUUCCAUGCAUGUUUUCCUCUUUAGGUUGUGGGAUUGAUUCUCAUCUAGGGUUUGCCUUUUUGAGUGAGGAGAGACUGGAGAUGCUUUGCUCAGACAUGCACACAUCAAGUCUGGGACUGAUGGUUCCCUUCUGCCAACUAAUGGUUGUUUUGGGAACAUCCAACUUCUCCUUACCCCCAGUUGUAUAAGUGGUCUUUAGUAUGGUAGGAAGGGUAUUGCUGGAACACCUUUUCAUCCCUGAAUCAGAAAUGUGUGCUAAGGUCUGUGAUUCCAGCAUUGCUCUUUUGAGAAGGUCUGUUUGGCUUGGAGUGAAUCUCCUGGAAGCAAAGAGGAGAACCACAUUGUACUCUUCUCUAUCUCCUUCUGCACCUGUGGCCUCAUGGCUUUAAAUUUCAAACCAAGCCAGCAAAGCACCACAGCCUCUGCAAACCUGGAUUCUUAAUAAUCCCCAGGUUGAUCACUUACCACAGAACUAAUUACAACUCUUCCAAGCCUCCUGUUUAUGUCUCCUCCCUCCUUUGCUUCCUUUUCAUUUCCUAUGUCCUAGGCCUUGAAAUGCUUGGUCUUGACAUGACAAUUGAUGGCUGCUGGCUGUACAAACACAAAGGCCUGGAGUAUAAGGAGAGCCAGAUGGAGCUGGAAUUGCACUGUGUAUUCUUCCUAAAUAAGCGAAAGAUUUAUAAAUUGAUGAAAUUUCUUUGCUCAUGCAGAUGUUUUGUGCCUCCUGUACUGAACUGGGCUCCAUGUGUCACGUUUGCUCUCACCAUGUGCUGCUGAGUUCACAGCUAAGAAGCUAUGAGAUGGAGAUGAUGCUGGUAUUUUGAUCUCUAUCUUCCCUUGGCAGCUCAAUCUUCUUUUCAUACAUCUUAGAGGAAAAUUGGGUGUCGCUUUCUGCUGAGUCUACUGCCUACUUGGUCCUUAACAGCCCACUUUGUCCCUGUAACCAAAGCCCUAGAUGCUCUGGACCACAAUGACCUCUUUGAAGUCAUUAUUGGCUCUCGCAUCCAUGAGUAGUAUGGAGGGCACAUUAAUAAACUGUAUAUAGAAAAAGACAAUGAAGUCCCCAAGAAGUCAUUAAGAGUCUAUUGUGUCAGUCUGACUGUGGCCCACAAAAGAUACUGAAUAUGUAAGCUAAAAAUAUCCUUCGGAAAUGCUGUUGACACAGUUAUUUUACAUUGGCAGCAACAUCUUCCCCCCACAUACACACGCUCCCCUUGCUAAUCCUGCUCAGAGCAAUCCAUGUUCUGGGAAUCAUCUGUUUUUUUUUUUUCUUGGGAUUCAGAGACCUCCAGAUAGCAGCACUCUGCUGGCACUUUGCAGCUUUGUUAGGGAAAAACAGGAGCGUAUCUUUUAUUCCUGCCCUAUAUCCUCCUAUGUAUGAAGUGCUGCACAAACACCCAACUGAUGACUGCAGUUAUGUCAAAGGGCUGUCAGCUGAAAAGAACAGAGCAUAAAAAUAUGGGAAGGGAGCAGGUAUCCACACUUCUUCUGUCCUUUUGGACCCAGCUGUGCCCCCACCACUCAGCCCCUCAGUUUCCUGUACCCAAGUCCACGAGGGACGCUCAGCCCAGCAGCAGAGGAUUUGACCUCAGAUUUUUCUGGUGACACCAGCACUGACACUCUGCCUCCUCCACGUUGGCAUGGAUGCUUAGAAGAGCUGCUCCCAAAGGAUGACAAAUGAAAUGGGACCAGCCUGUCUGUGAAGGGGAACACUUCCCUCUGCUAACAGCUUGACUGAGAUUCACCCAGUUUGCUUCCUAACCGUUGGAACUGCCCCCACCAGUGAGUAGGUGCAGAGAUCAGCUUCUUCUGGAAGAAAUGUAUCUAAAAUGAGCAGAAGUGCUCUCCUGUGUAUCACGGGGACGUUGUCAUCUCCCAGGCUGUGAUAUGUGGCUAAAAAAAGAACAGAGGGCUCCUAAAGUAGCCGAAAAGUGCAUGAUCUGUGAGUAGAGCCAGGAGACAACUGAGUCAUCUCAAGUGCUACAGAGGGCCAAAAGAGUGGUAUUGGAGUGAAUAUGAGUGCAGAGCAGGCUGUGAGCAACGGCCCCAUCUCCAUGAUUUCCAUAGUCAAGCAGAUAGUACAAGAGAUGUGUGCUUGUGCAUUUGUAUCAUUCAGACUCCAUGUUUUCAGAUUCUUUGAACGGAGAACAAGAAAAAUGAUGGAGGAAAAGGAUCAGUGAGAAAACACUUGGAAUCACACCAGCGAGAAAGCCCCUGCUUUGCUAACACUGUGGUGGUUGGCAGUGGGAAAUAACUAACCUCCUACCACAGUGAUAGCUGAUAGUUAUAGCAUGCUUAAAACAGUCAUGUAUUUUGUAUCCCACUCUCUUCCACAGAAGUCACGUUUGCCAGAAACUUAAAAAAAGAUUCAAGUAUGGUUCAUGUUUCAUUUUGCUCUGAGGUAAUUGCCAGUCAGCAGCCAUUUGUGGUCUAAGAUGACUGGAAGUUUUAAAGCAGAAUGUGGGCUUUUCCCACUUAUCUACUUACCAAAACCAACAUCUACUGGGGAAAAAAAAAUCAACACAAUAAACAACAGAACAAAACAGUAUCUCAGAGGAGUCUGGCACACAAAUGACACAGUUAAAAUGUUGCUCCACUAUUACAAUUGCUUCAGAAUGAUUACUAUCCUUCUAUUUCAUCCUCAGCUGAUUAGUCCCUAGGCUCAAUUGCUUUCAAAUGAAUAAAACACCAUCUAUUUGUGUUUUUCCUUCUGUGAGGGAAAAAAAAAAAAAAAAUCUACUUAUUGUGAUAAAGAGAUUGGUUUUAUCUGUGUGGACUUUUGUUCUAAGGAAUGCAAUAAUUUUGCUGGUACUGAAAUUCCGAUUUUGAGUGUUUUUAAUUAGACUAUUGUCUACUCUGUUGAUUUGAGAAAUGGUUUGCAUAACUGACCCAAACACCUCCGGAAGCUUAAACUGAAUUUUGGAAAGCAUUACUGAAUAUUUUUCCUGUCUUCCUCCUCGCUGGACAGAAAAAGCUGAAAAGCCCCAAGCACAGUCGGAUACGCAAACCCACAAGAAUACUAGCAGCUAUGCGUUUCCCAUCACCAGUUGUUCAGGAAAUGCUGUACUUCAAAGAUAUCAGGUCAUUGCCCUUUUUCAAUACAAGGCGUUGAGAUAUAGUUUUGAAAAAUUUUCAGUUGUCAUCCAAGAUGAAUCUUAUCACGUUUACCCAUUAUUUCGAAUCAGAUCUGAAACAUGACAGGCAUAAUUUGGAUUGAGAUAUUUGGCAUUUCCCAAACCCCUGCCAUAUGUCACUCAAAGCCAUUGAUGGGCACUUCAAAGAAAACCAGCAUGCAGUUUUGAGCAGUUCUUUGCAAGUUUCUUUGUAGCAAAAUUUCCUACUUGGAAGCCCUCUAGUUAAGCUUGCAUUUCUGAUAAAUUUCCAUGCAUUAUUAACCUAAUUGGACCCAACAUAUAUUCUAAGAUUCUCAUUAAUAUUUUUAACAUGUUAUGGCAUCUUUAUCCUUGAGCAGUCAACCAAGUUUUCAUCUUCAUAAAAAUGGGUUCCUCAUAAUCGGACAAUCCAAUCAUUUCCAGUCCAUAAGGUAAAUUUCCUCUAUAUUCUUUGAUUUUGCAGGAUUUUUUUUUUUAACCAAUCAGCAUAAUACAUUUCACCCUAUGGUUUAUUUCUCCGUAAACCUUGCCACAAUUGCUGGAAGCUUCUAACUGGAAAGGAUGCCAACUUGAGCUGGAGGACACAUCUAAGAGAUGACCUCAGGCCAACUGAAAGAAGGUAGAGCAUUUUAGGAGGACCGUUCCAUUUAUUCUUGCAAUUUAGACGCUUCACUGACUUCUGAUCAUCUUCAGAAUGGAUAAAAUGCCAAUGGACCGUACUGAAUGGUAAAUAAAUGGUACUACAGCCCACUGACUGUUAGUCGUUCGUUAAUAUAUCUGCAUAGGGAUAACACUGUGGAGACUAAAUCCUGAAUAAAACUGUCUGAGGUGAUACAAAAACGAACAUGAAAAGGAUGACCCUAAGCUAAAAAGAUUACUUGUGUUUGUUUGGCUCGAUGGCUGUAAUAGCAGCAGUAUUCAGCUGGAACAAUUAUUGGGUAGAAAAGAAGGGUUUUUUUUUGUAUAAGUUCAGAAUGCUUUCACUGUUAUUAUCUAAAAUUGAACUAUGUAUAUUAUUUUAAAUGGGUAAAUUUUUGUUUUGUAUCCAUGAAAUUGCUACCACAUUAACAAGAUUUUCCAGGCAUUAAUGGAUUGAUUUCUGUUAAAUUGUAACUAUAUUAAUUCAUCCCAAUUACCUCUAAGUAAAAUUUAAAUUAAGUUAAAUUGAAGAAAUUAAAAAUGUUUGAAAACCCUGCAUGGAAACCUUGAG
rnacentral:lncRNA from 1 species